UAAAAAUAGGAUAUAUAGAAAUAAUUGCUGAGGUUUUCUAAGCAAAAUUUUACUAAUGAAAUGCCAAGAUUAAAUUAAUUGUUUGCUAAUUGUGAAUAUUUUGAUAUAUCAUAAGAAGAUACUGAGUAAGAUCUUACUCGGUAAGAUGUACUGAAAGUUAAAUAUUUUGUACAUUUUAAUCAUUUUCUUAUAACCUGACUGGUUUUAAUACGCUUAUAUAAAAGAGAUGUACUUUUUCUUGAAGCGUUUCAGCGCUACGUGAUGUGUAGAGCAGUGGAUAUUCAAAAGCAUUUUGGACAGUCGAAUUCGCGGAUCGAUUAGCGUAACCAAUUAUUAAAACGUGAAUGCCGUCGCCUGUCUUGAGACGUGCGAUCGGAUCGGAAUCGUAUCGGAUCGGAUCGAAUUGGAAAUUGUAAUACAUGGACUUCAACAGUACCAGGGGCAGAGGUACACCGUUGCCUACCGUUAAGUGCUCUCUACAAGCCACCUGGGAUUGUAUCUCCAUAUAUUCUUUGAAAUGUGUCUUAAGGAGGGCCUUUUCUGUUUCUUCCUUUGGUGUUUCUUUUACAUCAUCCGUUUUUGGUUCUAUGAUUUGAAUUUUAUCAUUAUAAAAAUGUACACUAAAAUUUAAAUAUUCAAAACCGAAACAUUAAAUGUAUAAUAUUUCA